UACAGAGGUCCCAAGCGUUGUUCGGAUUUACUGGGCGUAAAGGGUGCGUAGGUGGCGAGGUAAGUUUGAUGUGAAAUCUCCGAGCUCAACUCGGAAAUGGCAUUGAAUACUAUCCCGCUUGAGGGUCGGAGGGGAGACUGGAAUUCUCGGUGUAGCAGUGAAAUGCGUAGAUAUUGGGAAGAACACCGGUGGCGAAGGCGGCGCUCUGGACCGAGACUGACGCUGAGGCGCGAAAGCGUGGGGAGCAAACAGG
rnacentral:rRNA from 1 species